UAAUAAGUGUUUUAUGGCACUUUUUAAAUCCAUAUCCACCUUGUGCUGCAAUGUCAGUCGAUCUUCUUAUGGAGAUCGACCAAACAUCAACCUUUAUCUUUUAACUCUUUGUCUGAAAAAUAUUAUGAAUAAACAGUUCAAAAUA
rnacentral:misc_RNA from 1 species